rnacentral:rRNA from 1 species
CACGUAGGGUGCGAGCGUUUGUCCGGAAUUAUUGGGCGUAAAGAGCUCGUAGGCGGUGUGUCGCGUCGGCCGUGAAAACCUGCAGCUUAACUGUGGGCUUGCGGUCGAUACGGGCAUCACUGGAGUUCGGCAGGGGAGACUGGAAUUCCUGGUGUAGCGGUGAAAUGUGUAGAGAUCGGGAGGAACACCGGUGGCGAAGGCGGGUCUCUGGGCCGAUACUGACGCUGAGGAGCGAAAGCGUGGGGAGCGAACAGG